rnacentral:lncRNA from 1 species
CUGCCAAUAUAUUGGAAGAAGAGCUGGGUCUUCGUUUGUGAAGAGGGACUGGCUUGAGUUGCAAUGGAGAAAUCGCCCCUCGAGUGUGAAGCUGCGAUCAUUGCCACCGUAACGGAGCCUGCUCCGCGCAGUGAUGAGCAUCCAAUAUGUAGCAUCGAAGAGAAUACCUCAACGCCGCCGGAACCCACGGUUUCCAUUGCUUCCGUUCACCCGAAGCCUUCAGCUGUUCCGCUUGCCGCAGCUCUUGGCGCGAUUGGUGCCACAAUUGUGGGUGGACUUGUUGGUGUCUUCGUCCGACGAUUGAGGAAGAAGAAGAGUUCAGAGGCAAAAGCAGCUGCUGCAACACCUGCGGUGACGCCCAUUACAGCAACACGUCCAGUAUCUCAGUCCGAAGCGCCGGAAGUGGACCUUUCGCCUUUCGGGAGCCCUGUGAGGAAGACGCCUGUGCGGAUACCACCCACCCACAAAUCAGAUGGAAUGCGGACCCGCAGCACAAUGCCAGACAGCGAUGCCGAUGACCAGUUGAGUCCAACUCGCGCCAAGUUCCUGUUUCUCAUGGCCUGCCACCCUUAAAUAUUCUCCAUACCAUGAUAAUAUUCACCUGUUUCCGCUAUCCACAUGCGCGGCUAUGCUCGUGCAGGUCCGACAAUGCGUCUGUGCGCGACCAGCGCCACUCAACCCUGAUUGACGCU